rnacentral:rRNA from 1 species
CCGGAUCCCAUCAAAACUCCGAAGUUAAGCGUGCUUGGGCGAGAGUAGUACUAGGAUGGGUGACCCCUUGGGAAAUCCUCGUGUUGCAUCCC